AAAAAACCAGGAGCGUUGGAUCACGCAUCAUUAACUGACGUGGCAGAUCCAACACUCCAAAUGAUGAUGAAUAUGAUGGAACACACUGCAAUAAUAACACAAGAUCUAAUUUGAAUUUAACCAAUCAAAACAUUUCAAAAUACCAAGGUGUCUGGUCCAAACUCAGACCACCUGAGAAAUACGCCAGUCAUCUUCUCCUGUGAGCUCUCACUAGAGUUUUAUCAUUUGGUAACUUCAAG
rnacentral:lncRNA from 1 species